rnacentral:rRNA from 1 species
GAGUUUGAUCUUGGCUCAGAUUGAACGCUGGCGGCAGGCCUAACACAUGCAAGUCGAACGGUAACAGGAAACAGCUUGCUGUUUCGCUGACGAGUGGCGGACGGGUGAGUAAUGUCUGGGAAACUGCCUGAUGGAGGGGGAUAACUACUGGAAACGGUAGCUAAUACCGCAUAAUGUCGCAAGACCAAAGAGGGGGACCUUCGGGCCUCUUACCAUCGGAUGUGCCCAGAUGGGAUUAGCUUGUUGGUGGGGUAACGGCUCACCAA